AAAGCUCCAGUUCCUCUGUGGCAGCCUGUCAGCCCUAAGCCCGAGGAGUCCGAUGCCUUCAAGAUCCUCCCUGGGUAUCUUUCCCGCGGCUCGCCCCUCGAUAGCCUCAAAGCUCCAGCUCCUCUGUGACAGCCUGUCAGUCUUAAGCCCAAGGAGUCCGAUGCCUUCAGGCUUCUUCCUGGGUAUCUUUCCCGCGCCUCGCCCCUCUAUAGCCUCAAAGCUCCAGUUCCUCUGUGACAGCCUGUCAGCCCUAAGCCCAAGGAGUCCGAUGCCUUCAGGCUUCUCCCUGGGUCUCUUUCCCGCGGCUCGCCCCU